rnacentral:rRNA from 1 species
UACGAAGGGGGCUAGCGUUGCUCGGAAUCACUGGGCGUAAAGCGCACGUAGGCGGCUUUUUAAGUCAGGGGUGAAAUCCUGGAGCUCAACUCCAGAACUCCCUUUGAUACUGAGAAGCUUGAGUUCGGGAGAGGUGAGUGGAACUGCGAGUGUAGAGGUGAAAUUCGUAGAUAUUCGCAAGAACACCAGUGGCGAAGGCGGCUCACUGGCCCGAUACUGACGCUGAGGUGCGAAAGCGUGGGGAGCAAACAGG